rnacentral:rRNA from 1 species
UAGGGAAUAUUGGAAAUGUGCGAAAGCGCGAACCAGCAACGCCGCGUGCACGAUGAAGGCCUUCGGGUCGUAAAGUGCUUUUAGAGAGGAUGAGGAAGGACAGUACUUUCUGAAUAAGCCUCGGCUAACUACGUGCCAGCAGCCGCGGUAAAACGUAGGAGGCUAGCGUUAUCCGGAUUUACUGGGCGUAAAGGGCAUGCAGGUGGUUUUGUAAGUUGGAUGUGAAAGCUCCUGGCUUAACUGGGAGAGGUCGUUCAAAACUACAAGACUUGAGAUUGGUAGAGGAUAAUGGAAUUCCCGGUGGAGUGGUGAAAUGCGUAGAUAUCCGGAGGAACACCAGUGGCGAAAGCGGUUUUCUGGACCAAUUCUGACACUCAGAUGCGAAAGCUAAGGUAGCAAACG